rnacentral:rRNA from 1 species
AAGGAUUCCCUAGUAACGGCGAGUGAAGAGGGAAGAGCCCAAGAUUGAAAGCUGGCGCCUUCGGCGUCCGCAUUGUAAUCUCAAGAAGCAUUUUCCGCCCUUCGGACCAAGCCUAAGUCCCUUGGAAAAGGGCAUCGUAGAGGGUGAGAAUCCCGUACAUGGCUUGGAGCGCCCGAGGCUUUGUGAUAUGCAUUCUAAGAGUCGAGUUGUUUGGGAAUGCAGCUCAAAAUGGGUGGUAAAUGCCAUCUAAGGCUAAAUAUUGGGGAGAGACCGAUAGCGAACAAGUACCGUGAGGGAAAGAUGAAAAGAACUUUGAAAAGAGAGUUAAACAGUACGUGAAAUUGCCAAAAGGGAAGGGUAGGAGGUCAGAGAUGCGGCAUGGGAUUCAGCCUUGCUUUUGCUUGGUGUUUUUCCCAUUUUGCAGGCCAACGUCGGUUUUGGGCACUGGAGAAUGGUGGGAGGAAUGUGGCACUCUUCGGGGUGUGUUAUAGCCUCCUACUGGAUACAGCGACCGGGACCGAGGAACGCAGCGUACUCGAAAGAGCGGGCCUUCGGCACCUUUACGCUUAGGGCGUUGCAUAAUGACCCUC